UAACUAAGUCAUAGCCUCCCAUUAAGUGAGUGAUAAUGAGUCCAUUAGUUUAAUAAUCAUUGGAGGUCCAAAGGCCUGGUGCUUAUUGACUAAUGGAAUUAUCAUUCAUAAUAUGAUAAUUUGGUUUGAAUCUUUCUGAUGGUGGUCAGGUUGACCGGCCAAAGUCGGGCCUGAUCAUUUAUUGGUCUGAUUCACCAAAUCAAAUCAUGUUAAUGGUUGGACCUAACCAGAUCUUUUCAGUGGAGGCCAAAGCCUACUGAUUAGGUUCUGGGGCAAAAUCAAUUACUAGAAGUUGUUUAAAGAAACAACUGGUUAUGAACCUACCCAUAAAUGCACAUGGGUUGACCAACCAAAGUUGGGCUCAUGUGUAGUCUGUGUGGAUUCUAAUACCCACUAAGGAAUUAAAGUAAUUUCUCGAAUUGGAGGUUGAGGCUACCAGUUCGUAAAAAUACUGAGAGAAACUUUAGACUAAAGUCCAAGUCUUUAGUAUUUAUAAUUUAUGUACUAAUAGAGGUCUGAUUUUUUUUUAUGUAGCUAUGGCCACUACCCUGUCCCUCCGAUCAUUAUUAGAUAAUGACAAGCUCAUGGGACCCAAUUUUGAUAGCUGGUAUCGAAAAUUAAAAAUCAUCCUUGAGCAUGAGCGGAUCCUUUAUGUAGUAACGGAUCC
rnacentral:lncRNA from 1 species